rnacentral:rRNA from 1 species
CGUCAGUUCGUACUGUGAAGCAUCCUGUUAAGUCAGGCAACGAGCGAGACCCACGCCAACAGUUGCCAGCUCGUCCUCCGGGAUGGUGGGGACACUGUUGGGACCGCCUCUGCUAAAGAGGAGGAAGGAAUGGGCAACGGUAGGUCAGCAUGCCCCGAAUUAUCUGGGCUACACGCGGGCUACAAUGGGUGGGACAAUGGGUAUCGACACCGAAAGGUGAAGGCAAUCUCCUAAACCCAUCCGUAGUUCGGAUUGUGGGCUGCAACUCGCCCACAUGAAGCUGGAAUCUGUAGUAAUCGUGUCUCAAAAUGGCACGGUGAAUAUGUCCCUGCUCCUU